UACGUAGGGGGUUAGCGUUGUCCGGAAUCAUUGGGCGUAAAGCGCGUGUAGGCGGUUCGGUAAGUCCGCUGUGAAAGUCGGGGGCUCAACCCUCGGAUGCCGGUGGAUACUGUCGAGCUUGAGUACGGAAGAGGCGAGUGGAAUUCCUGGUGUAGCGGUGAAAUGCGCAGAUAUCAGGAGGAACACCAAUUGCGAAGGCAGCUCGCUGGGACGUUACUGACGCUGAGACGCGAAAGCGUGGGGAGCAAACAGG
rnacentral:rRNA from 1 species